UACGUAGGGGGCGAGCGUUGUCCGGAAUCAUUGGGCGUAAAGCGCGUGUAGGCGGCCCGGUAAGUCCGCUGUGAAAGUCCAGGGCUCAACCCUGGGAUGCCGGUGGAUACUGUCGGGCUCGAGUCCGGAAGAGGCGAGUGGAAUUCCUGGUGUAGCGGUGAAAUGCGCAGAUAUCAGGAGGAACACCAAUGGCGAAGGAAGCUCGCUGGGACGUGACUGACGCUGAGACGCGAAAGCGUGGGGAGCAAACAGG
rnacentral:rRNA from 1 species